UACGGAGGGUGCAAGCGUUAAUCGGAAUUACUGGGCGUAAAGCGUACGUAGGUGGUUUGUUAAGCCAGCUGUGAAAUCCCCGAACUCAACCUGAGCACUGCAGUUGGAACUGGCAAGCUAGAGUAGGGUAGAGGGGUGUGGAAUUCCAGGUGUAGCGGUGAAAUGCGUAGAUAUCUGGAGGAACAUCAGUGGCGAAGGCGACACCCUGGACUCAUACUGACACUGGGGUACGAAAGCGUGGGGAGCAAAC
rnacentral:rRNA from 1 species